rnacentral:tRNA from 1 species
GCCCCGGUAGCUCAGUGGAUAGAGCAGCGCUCUCCUAAGGCGCGUGCCGCAGGUUCGAUUCCUGCCCGGGGCA